rnacentral:rRNA from 1 species
CCUACGGGCGGCAGCAGUGAGGAAUAUUGGUCAAUGGACGCAAGUCUGAACCAGCCAAGCCGCGUGCAGGAUGACGGCUCUAUGAGUUGUAAACUGCUUUUGUAAGAGGGUAAACCCCGAUACGUGUAUCGGUUUGAAAGUAUCGUACGAAUAAGGAUCGGCUAACUCCGUGCCAGCAGCCGCGGUAAUACGGAGGAUCCGAGCGUUAUCCGGAUUUAUUGGGUUUAAAGGGUGCGUAGGCGGUUUUAUAAGUUAGAGGUGAAAUUUUGUGGCUCAACCCCGAAACUGCCGCUAAUACUGUUGGACUAGAGAAUAGUUGCGGUAGGCGGAAUGUAUGGUGUAGCGGUGAAAUGCUUAGAGAUCAUACAGAACCCCGAUUGCGAAGGCAGCUUACCAAGCUAUAUCUGACGUUGAGGCACGAAAGCGUGGGGAGCAAACAGGAUUAGAUACCCUAGUAGUC